GCCGUGGCACGGCCAUAUGGGAAACUCGUCCCCGCUAAAUACGGAAAUAUCGCGUUGACUAACUGCCAGAGGGCAGCACAAAACGCUUUUCGAUCGUCACGACCCUGGUGGCGGCCACUGAAGCUCACGGUACAACAAGCUGCCGGCUGCCAUAUUGAAUCGAGAAACGAAGCGCGGGAAGCACGUUUCUUUGACAGUUUGGCCGCUUUCCCACGGCCGCAGGCCGUGACAGGCCGAAUUCUUGUCGCGCACGAGUGGCCAAAGAGCCAAGGAGUAUUCUUAACAGCCACAUCAUCGGCCCAGGGGCCUACUUCAGCCCUGGCGGGCACGCAAAGUGCGAGGUCGUCGGCGCAAGAUUACUGAAAACAAACUUUUGAGACUGCGCCAGUUUCCCGUCGUGCGCUUCCAAUUUAAUUUUUCCAACCUGGGAGAGAAUACGAGAAAAACGCUGGUGCAAAUAAAAAUAUGUAGUCAACCAAAUUGUGGUAAACUGAUCUAUUUUUCUUCUUCUAAUUUUCAUUUUUUGCAGGAAUCGGAGUUUCUUUUUAUUAACUGAGAGUGCAGUUCAUCACCGUGUGUUUGGACACCUCAUUAUUUAUCAUUUUAUCCUUGAUUUUUUUGGAAUUGGAUACUGGAUCUGAGACAUCACGUUUAAAGGAAGUUGAAAUUUGAAUGCCUCGAUGAAAAAUAUUGUCAACUGUUGAUUUGAUGGCUGCUUUUGUCUUAUCCAACAAUAAAAUUAUUGGUUCAUACAUAUAAAUUCUAGCCAGGCGUGCUCCGCAAUUGUUAUAUUUUUAUUUAAUUGUACAGAAUUAUUCAAAUAUGAUUUUAUUUGGUUUAUUAUGUAUAAUAAUAAAUAAACUACCAUCUUUACAUCAUUUACAAAUUCAACAUGGAAUCAACAUCAAGAAUUUGCUUGUGAGGUUAGUCAGCAGAAAGAUACAAAACAUUUCUUUUGAGGGAAGAAAAUUUAUAUUGCAAUUGUAAACGAAUUAUUAUAUUUUUUUUUAAAUCUUUAUUAACAACAAAUUUGAUGUAAACGCAUUUUUUUUUAAAUCUUUAUUAACAACAAAUUUGAUGCAUGCCAGUGGUAAACAACUUAAUGGAUGUUCACUUAGGGAUACCAAACCCUUCUAAAACACAAGAGCAAAAUUAAUGCAAAUAAACCAAAUACCUGUAAUCCUGAAGAGGUAAUUUAUUCAUGGUGUUGACAAGAACAUCAUAAAAGUUCACCUCUUAAUUCAUGAUCCUACCAAUAUCAAAAAGUGAUAAAAUGAGGUAUCCAAACACAAGAUAAUGAACUGCACUCUCAGUUAAUAAAAAGAAACUCCGAUUCCUGCAAAAAAUGAAAAUUAGAAGAAGAAAAAUAGAUCAGUUUACCACAAUUUGGUUGACUACAUAUUUUUAUUUGCACCAGCGUUUUUCUCAUAUUCU